rnacentral:ribozyme from 1 species
AACUCAUGCGCCGCGGGGCAGACCUCAACAAGCAAAACGACGCCGGCUGCACGGCGCUUCACUACGCGCACG